rnacentral:rRNA from 1 species
UACGUAGGGUGCAAGCGUUGUCCGGAAUUAUUGGGCGUAAAGAGCUCGUAGGCGGUUUGUCGCGUCUGCUGUGAAAACUCGGGGCUUAACUCCGGGCCUGCAGUGGGUACGGGCAGACUAGAGUGCGGUAGGGGAGACUGGAAUUCCUGGUGUAGCGGUGAAAUGCGCAGAUAUCAGGAGGAACACCGGUGGUGAAGGCGGGUCUCUGGGCCGUAACUGACGCUGAGGAGCGAAAGCGUGGGGAGCGAACAGG